rnacentral:ncRNA from 1 species
AUUGCCCUGCUUCCCGCGAAGGCCCAAGUACCACUUGGGAGUUUGUAGCGGUGGCGGGGUAGC